rnacentral:tRNA from 1 species
AUUUAUAUAGUUUAUAAAAACAUUACAUUUUCAUUGUAAAAAUAAAGAAUUUAUCUUUUAUAAAUU